AUUGAACGCUGGCGGCAUGCUUUACACAUGCAAGCCGAACGGCAGCACGGGGGCAACCCUGGUGGCGAGUGGCGAACGGGUGAGUAAUGCAUCGGAACGUGCCCCGUCGUGGGGGAUAACACAUCGAAAGAUGUGCUAAUACCGCAUACGACCGGCGGGUGAAAGCGGGGGACCGCAAGGCCUCGCGCGAUGGGAGCGGCCGAUGUCUGGUUAGCUAGUUGGUGGGGUAAAGGCCUACCAAGGCGACGAUCAGUAGCGGGUCUGAGAGGACGACCAGCCACACUGGGACUGAGACACGGCCCAGACUCCUACGGGAGGCAGCAGUGGGGAAUUUUGGACAAUGGGGGCAACCCUGAUCCAGCCAUGCCGCGUGCGGGAAGAAGGCCUUCGGGUUGUAAACCGCUUUUGGCAGGAACGAAACGGUGCGGGCGAAUACCCUGUGCUAAUGACGGUACCUGCAGAAUAAGCACCGGCUAACUACGUGCCAGCAGCCGCCGUAAAAC
rnacentral:rRNA from 1 species